rnacentral:rRNA from 1 species
GAAAGCUGGUACCUUCGGUAUCCGCGUUGUAACCUCGAGACACGUUUUCCGUGCGGCGCUAUGGACAAGUUCCUUGGAACAGGACAUCGUAGAGGGUGAAAAUCCCGUACUUGCCAUGGAUGUACCGUGCUUUGCGAUACGUGCUCUAAGAGUCGAGUUGUUUGGGAUUGCAGCUCAAAAUGGGUGGUAGACUCCAUCUAAAGCUAAAUAUCGGGGAGAGACCGAUAGCGAACAAGUACCGUGAGGGAAAGAUGAAAAGCACUUUGGAAAGAGAGUUAAAAGUACGUGAAAUUGUCGAAAGGGAAGCGCUUGAAGUCAGCCAUGCCGCUCAGGACUCAGCCUGGCUUUUGCUUGGUGUAUUUCCUGGUAGCAAGUCAGCAUUGGUUUGGAUCGUCGGAGAAGCAUAGUCGGAAUGUGGCGCCCUCGGGCGUGUUAUAGCCUUCUAUUGGAUACGACGAUCUAGACCAAGGAACGCAGCGCGCCU